rnacentral:misc_RNA from 1 species
AGACACAACCACCACCGACGCCUCUGUACAGUUAUUCACCACCGACACACCCAUCGCCCUGCUCGGUCAGUCGCAGUUCUCUUUCCAUCCGUUAGGCUCCCGAUUUUUUAUCGUAUCUUUUUUUAUGAUUCUUGCCUGUGCACAGCGGCGUUGCUGUGCCGCACUACUGCCCACCUCUGUCUGCCUGCCCGUCUCGUUGCCAACGCCGAAGCGUACGCCUCUCACGCCGGGCACAACUUGCCUAACAUCUCACCUGAAAACAAGGUCAGCGGCAGUUUCCCGCGCCGCAGCCCUGCACGCGGUGCGUAAGAAGAUGCAGGAGGCCACCGUGGCCGCACUCAUCGUCCCUAGCAGCGACGCGCACAACAGCGAGUACGUGGCGACGCACCUGUAGAGUCGCGCAUUCAUCUCUCACUUCCACGGCAGCGCCGGUACCUCCCUCAUCACGAUGGAGAAGGCGCUCCUAUGGAUGGACGGACGCUACUGGUUGGCCGCGGAGGAGGAGAAGUACCCCGACUUUGAUCUCAUGAAGCAAGGCAAGCCAGAGGUCCCGUCGCUCGAGGAGUGAGUUGCCGUCAAUCUCAGCUCCAAAGCAGUUGUUGGCAUGAACCCGUACGUCGCCACGGUGGCGGAGUGGGAACGGCUGAGCAAGCGGAUCAAUCUGCGUCCGGUGGCAAACAUCGUUCAGGACAUGAUGCCGCCGGAGAAGAACGUGCAAAGAAUCUACGUGCGUCCCGUUGAGUUCUGCGGUGCCACCUGCAAGGAGCGGCGCGCCGCGAUUCUCGCAGAGCUGGAGAAGAAGGACUGCGACCUGAUCAUUCUCUCCGCACUGGAUGAGAUCGCGUGGCUCACGAAUCUGCGCGGCGGCGACGUGGAUUACAACCCCGUCUUCUACGCGUACGCUGUGAUUGACAAGCACUACGAAAACGUGCGCCUCUACGUGAACCCGGACAAGGUGACAGACGCAGUGCAUCAGGCGUGCGAGGAUCACAUCGACUUCUACCCGUACGAGCAGUUCGAGGCGGAUCUCAAGCAGCUACCACAGGGUCGCAAGGCCCUCGUCGACGAGCGCCAGACGAGCGAGGCCGUCUUUCGCAUCUUGAAGGAUGUCGGCACCGAGACGGUGCGUGUCGUUUGCGGCCCGGCGCAGAAGUUGAAGGGGGUCAAGAAUGAGGUCGAGCUCCAGGGCUUCCGCGACUGCCACGUACGCGACGGUGCCGCGCUGACGCGCUACCUUGCCUGGCUGCACGACCAGGUCGCGAACAAGGGUGCGACGGACCUGAACGAGUACGACGCGGCCACGAAGCUCGAGGAGUUCCGCGCGCAGGGGGAACACUUUGUGCAGCUCAGUUUUGGCUCCAUCUCGUCCAUUGGCCCUAACGGGGCGAUGUGCCACUACAGCCCCGCCGAGACGGGCUCUGCCACCAUUCGCAAGGACCAGCUGUACUUAAUCGACAGCGGUGCGCACUACUGGGACGGUGCCACCGAUGUGACGCGCACCAUCUGCUUCACAGCGCCGAGUGAUGAGCAGCGCGAGGCCUACACGCUUGUCCUCAAAGGGCAUAUUGCACUCAACAGCAUUGUUUUUCCCAAGGGCACAAGCGGUGCCCGUCUCGACACCCUGGCGCGUAUGGCGCUCUGGGGCGUGGGACUGGACUACGCCCACGGCACCGGGCAUGGCGUGGGAUCCUUCCUCAACGUGCACGAGGGCCCCCACGGAAUCGGCAUUCGUCCAGUUGCCACGGGGGCGAACAUGGAGCUGCACUCCAUCGUGUCGAACGAGCCUGGCUACUACAAGGACGGGCACUACGGCAUCCGCAUUGAGAACCUCGAGGAGGUGGUCGAGUGUCGGACCAAGUACAGCGCAACCGGCUUCUACACCAUGUCGCACCUCACGAUGGUGCCUCUGUGCCGCGACCUCAUCGACGUGAGCCUCCUCACAGAGACGGAGCGCGCCUGGGUAGACCGACACCACGCCAAGGUGGUGGCGAGCAUCAUGCCGCACCUGCAAAAGGCAGGCGACCAGAACGCCAUCGAGUACCUCAAAUACCACACGCAACCUCUCUGUGCGGUGAAUGAGGCGUACACCCUGCUCAGCCCAGACGGGAAAGGUGCUAAGUGAAUCGUUGCCUCGCCGGGCAGGAAGGCGAUGGUGGUGAUGAGAGCUCAGCGGCAGUUGCUGCGCUGCUUUCGCGCGUCACGGUUUUCUCUUCCGUUGCGCGACGGCUUAUUUCGUUGCUUCGCUUACGGUUCUGCCACCCGCACAGGGGCAGCGGGACGGGAGGUGGCGACGGUGGGAGAGAGCACCCCCGUCUGCCGCUCACGUUAAUGCGGAGUAGUCUUGUUGCAGGUGCCCCGUACCUUGUGCCCGCAGAGUCCGCUGGACUCGGCGUUCACAUAGCCACUCCUUUUUUCCUGGCCUGAUAUUCCUCUGUGUGAGAAACGAAUAACAUACGUGCAAAAAAGGUGAAGCACGGACGGCAGCGAGUUGCUCCGCAUCCGCGCGUGCUCCUUUCUCUAUCAUGAGGUUUCCUUUACGAGCACGCGCGAGGUGGAGGGGUGAAGGACCCCUUUCGGCAUGCACGACUAUGUGCGCGGCAGCAUCGCUUCCCUCUUCAAGCUCAGCCCUAGGCUGUAUUCAUGUGCUUCUUUUGGCAUGUAGGCUUGUGGCGAGGCAGCGCUCAUGAAAGCUCUCACCACUCUCCAUGCACGUGUGCGCAGACGCAUGCUGCUUUCGUGCCACGCACCGCCGCAGUAUCGCCAAUGCCCCUGCCGCCGUAUGUGUGUGUGCGCCUCCUGCGCCGCAUUGUUCCCCUUAUCUUUCUGUUGUUCGGUCUAACACCCACCACCUUCUCGUUCUCUGCCACAACACAUGAUGUAUCUCGCACGGAGGCCACCCCCUCCCCCCCCCCACACACACACACACACACACGUAAACACUCUGCUAUUCCCCGUACGACCAAUGGGCUCACCAUUGAUCGCGGUGGUCGGGCCCAACCCGGCAUUCCAG